rnacentral:rRNA from 1 species
GUGCUGGUGCCUGGAUCCUUCUUUGCAGUCGACGGCAACGCCCGCUUGCUGGUACUCUAGUGGCGAACGGGUGAAUGACACGUGGGUGAUCUGCCCUGUGCUCUGGGAUGGGGGUGGGAAACUGGGUCUAAUACCGGAUAUGACCUUACAUCUCAUGGUGUUUGGUGGAAAGCUUUUGCGGUUCAGGAUGGGCCCGCGGCCUAUCAGCUUGUUGGUGGGGUAAUGGCCUACCAAGGCGACGACGGGUAGCCGACCUGAGAGGGUGAUCGGCCCCACUGGGACUGAAACGCGGCCCAGACUCCUCCCGGAGGCAACGGUGGGGAAUAUUGCACAAUGGGCGCAAGCCUGAUGCAGCGACGCCGCGUGAGGGAUGACGGCCUUCGGGUUGUAAACCUCUUUCACCAUGGACGAAACGCAAGUGAUGGUACCUGGAGAAGAAGCACCGGCCAACUACGUGCCAGCAGCCGCGGUAAUACUUAGGGUGCGAGCGUUGUCCGGAAUUACUGGGCGUAAAGAGCUCGUAAGCGGUUUGUCGCGUCGUCUGUGAAAUUCUGCAACUCAAUUGUAGGCGUGCAGGCGAUACGGGCAGACUUGAGUACUACAGGGGAGACUGGAAUUCCUGGUGUAGCGGUGAAAUGCGCAUAUAUCAGGAGGAACACCGGUGGCGAAGGCGUGUCUCUGUGUAGUAACUGACGCUGAGGACCUGAAGCGUGGGUAGCGAACAUGAUUAGAUACCCUGGUAGUCCACGCCAUAAACUGUGCGUACUAUGUGUGCGGCUCAUUACACGAGUUCCGUGCCGUAGCUACCUCAUUAAGUACACCGCCUGGGGAGUACGAGCCGCACGGCUAGAACUCAAAGGAAUUGACGGGGGCCCGCACAGGCAGUCGGAGCAUGUGGAUUAAUUCGAUGCAUCACGAAGAUCCAUACCUUGGCUAUGACAUACACCAGACAUCUAUAUGAGAUAUACGCCCCACUAGUUGUAGAUGUACAGGUGGUGCAUAGCUGUCGUCGACUCGUGUCGUGAAUGUUGGGUUAAGUCCCGGCACUAGCGCAGCCGUUGUCCUGCAUGCCAGCGGGUUAUGCCUGCGAUUGCGUAGAAUGCGGCGGUCACUCGGAGAGGUUGGAUGACGGUCGAGUGAUCAGACCCUUCGUCCAGGCUGCCCAUGCUAAGUGCUUCGACAAUGAGGCAUGCGAUACCGUGAGGUGAGCGAUCCGUAAGCAGCUAACGCUUGAUGAGCUGACCUCAUCCCAUUGGACCUGAUUCCCAUUGUGAAUCGCGAUAUGUCACAGACG